rnacentral:rRNA from 1 species
CCUACGGGAGGCUGCAGUGAGGAAUAUUGGUCAAUGGACGAGAGUCUGAACCAGCCAAGUAGCGUGAAGGAUGACUGCCCUAUGGGUUGUAAACUUCUUUUAUAUGGGAAUAAAAUGUUCCACGUGUGGGAUUUUGUAUGUACCAUAUGAAUAAGGAUCGGCUAACUCCGUGCCAGCAGCCGCGGUAAUACGGAGGAUCCGGGCGUUAUCCGGAUUUAUUGGGUUUAAAGGGAGCGUAGGGGGAUUGUUAAGUCAGUUGUGAAAGUUUGCGGCUCAACCGUAAAAUUGCAGUUGAAACUGGCAGUCUUGAGUACAGUAGAGGUGGGCGGAAUUCGUGGUGUAGCGGUGAAAUGCUUAGAUAUCACGAAGAACUCCGAUUGCGAAGGCAGUUCACUGGACUGCAACUGACACUGAGGCUCGAAAGUGUGGGUAUCAAACAGGAUUAGAUACCCGGGUAGUC